GACGUAGGGUGCAAGCGUUGUCCGGAUUUAUUGGGCGUAAAGAGUUCGUAGGCGGUUGCCUAAGUCUGAUGUUAAAGCCCGGAGCUCAACUCCGGUAUGGCAUUGGAAACUGGGCAGCUUGAGUAUGAUAGAGGUUACGGGAAUUCCUGGUGUAGCGGUGAAAUGCGUAGAUAUCAGGAGGAACACCGGUGGCGAAGGCGGCCUUCUGGACAGUGACUGACGCUGAGACGCGAAAGCGUGGGGAGCGAACAGG
rnacentral:rRNA from 1 species